rnacentral:rRNA from 1 species
GGCCUAACACAUGCAAGUCGAACGGCAGCACAGAAGAGCUUGCUCUUUGGGUGGCGAGUGGCGGACGGGUGAGUAAUGUCUGGGAAACUGCCCGAUGGAGGGGGAUAACUACUGGAAACGGUAGCUAAUACCGCAUAACGUCGCAAGACCAAAGUGGGGGACCUUCGGGCCUCACACCAUCGGAUGUGCCCAGAUGGGAUUAGCUAGUAGGUGGGGUAAUGGCUCACCUAGGCGACGAUCCCUAGCUGGUCUGAGAGGAUGACCAGCCACACUGGAAGCUGAAACACGGUCCAGACUCCUACGGGAAGCAGCAGUGGGGAAUAUUGCACAUUGGGCGCAAGCCUGAUGCAGCCAUGCCGCGUGUAUGAAGAAGGCCUUCGGGUUGUAAAGUACUUUCAGCGGGGAGGAAGGCGGUGAGGUUAAUAACCUCGCCGAUUGACGUUACCCGCAGAAGAAGCACCGGCUAACUCCGUGCCAGCAGCCGCGGUAAUACGGAGGGUGCAAGCGUUAAUCGGAAUUACUGGGCGUAAAGCGCACGCAGGCGGUCUGUUAAGUCAGAUGUGAAAUCCCCGGGCUUAACCUGGGAACUGCAUUUGAAACUGGCAGGCUUGAGUCUCGUAGAGGGGGGUAGAAUUCCAGGUGUAGCGGUGAAAUGCGUAGAGAUCUGGAGGAAUACCGGUGGCGAAGGCGGCCCCCUGGACGAAGACUGACGCUCAGGUGCGAAAGCGUGGGGAGCAAACAGGAUUAGAUACCCUGGUAGUCCACGCCGUAAACGAUGUCGACUUGGAGGUUGUGCCCUUGAGGCGUGGCUUCCGGAGCUAACGCGUUAAGUCGACCGCCUGGGGAGUACGGCCGCAAGGUUAAAACUCAAAUGAAUUGACGGGGGCCCGCACAAGCGGUGGAGCAUGUGGUUUAAUUCGAUGCAACGCGAAGAACCUUACCUGGCCUUGACAUCCAGAGAACUUAGCAGAGAUGCUUUGGUGCCUUCGGGAACUCUGAGACAGGUGCUGCAUGGCUGUCGUCAGCUCGUGUUGUGAAAUGUUGGGUUAAGUCCCGCAACGAGCGCAACCCUUAUCCUUUGUUGCCAGCGAUUCGGUCGGGAACUCAAAGAAGACUGCCGGUGAUAAACCGGAGGAUGGUGGGGAUGACGUCAAGUCAUCAUGGUCCUUACGGUCAAGGCUUCUCACGUGGUACAAUGGCGCAUACAAAGAGAAGCGACCUCGCGAGAGCAAGCGGACCUCAUAAAGUGCGUCGUAGUCCGGAUUGGAGUCUGCAACUCGACUCCAUGAAGUCGGAAUCGCUAGUAAUCGUAGAUCAGAAUGCUACGGUGAAUACGUUCCCGGGCCUUGUACACACCGCCCGUCACACCAUGGGAGUGGGUUGCAAAAGAAGUAGGUAGCUUAACCUUCGGGAGGGCGCUUACCACUUUU